rnacentral:misc_RNA from 1 species
CAUGAAGAACGUAGCGAAAUGCGAUAAGUAAUGUGAAUUGCAGAAUUCAGUGAAUCAUCGAAUCUUUGAACGCACAUUGCGCCCGCCAGUAUUCUGGCGGGCAUGCCUGUCCGAGCGUCAUUUCAACCAUCAAGCCCCGGGCUUGUGUUGGGGACCUGCGUCCGACGCAGGCCCCGAAAACCAGUGGCGGGCUCGCUGUCCACACCGAGCGUAGUAGCUAACCUCGCUCCGGAGUGGCGCGGGCGCCUGCCGUAAAACCCCCCAAUUUUACAAGGUUGACCUCGGAUCAGGUAGGAAUACCCGCUGAACUUAAGCAUAUCAAUAAGCGGAGGA